rnacentral:lncRNA from 1 species
UCAAACAUCAGCAGCACAUGACAUGAUCCCCAGUGUCGGGGUCUAGGAAAGCAGGGUAUUUACCGAGCAAGCCUUAUAUUGUACCUCCAGCACUGGCGUUGCUCAAGCUGUGCACAACGACGGAGAUCCUACAUACAUACUAGAACUCGUUGACACUUGACAGGCAGGAAGGGAAGGCUGGCAGCUACAAGCUCUUCACGGCU